rnacentral:rRNA from 1 species
UCUUAUGGUCAUACCACCCUGAACACGCCCGAUCUCGUCUGAUCUCAGAAGCUAAGCAGGAUUCGGCCUGGUUAGUACUUGGAUAGGAGACUGUUUACUUGUUGAGCUAUUUAUUUAAU